rnacentral:rRNA from 1 species
UGGGGAAUUUUGGACAAUGGGCGAAAGCCUGAUCCAGCAAUGCCGCGUGUGUGAAGAAGGCCUUCGGGUUGUAAAGCACUUUUGUCCGGAAAGAAAUCCUUGGCUCUAAUACAGUCGGGGGAUGACGGUACCGGAAGAAUAAGCACCGGCUAACUACGUGCCAGCAGCCGCGGUAAUACGUAGGGUGCAAGCGUUAAUCGGAAUUACUGGGCGUAAAGCGUGCGCAGGCGGUUUGCUAAGACCGAUGUGAAAUCCCCGGGCUCAACCUGGGAACUGCAUUGGUGACUGGCAGGCUAGAGUAUGGCAGAGGUGGGUAGAAUUCCACGUGUAGCAGUGAAAUGCGUAGAGAUGUGGAGGAAUACCGAUGGCGAAGGCAGCCCCCUGGGCCAAUACUGACGCUCAUGCACGAAAGCGUGGGGAGCAAACAGGAUUAGAUACCCUGGUAGUCCACGCCCUAAAACGAUGUCAACUAGUUGUUGGGGAUUCAUUUCCUUAGUAACGUAGCUAACGCGUGAAGUUGACCGCCUGGGGGAGUACGGUCGCAAGAUUAAAAACUUAAAUGAAUUGACGGGGUCAUAGCUGUUUCCU